rnacentral:rRNA from 1 species
AGUGAACGCUGGCGGCGUGCCUAAUACAUGCAAGUCGAACGGAGUGGCGCACGGGUGAGUAAUAUAUAGCUAAUCUGCCCCUUGCUGGAGGACAACAGUUAGAAAUGCCUGCUAAUACUCAAUAGGAAGGGAUGAGACUAUAUCGUAUCAGCUAGUCGGUGGGGUAACGGCCUACCGAGGUUAUGACGCGUAACUGGUCUGCGAGGAUGAUCAGUGACAUUGGAACUGAGACACGGUCCGAACUCCUACGGGAGGGAGCAGUAGGGGAUAUUGCGCAAUGGGGGAAACCCUGACGGAGCAACGCCGCGUGGAGGAUGACACUUUUCGGAGCGUAAACUCCUUUUGUUAGGGAAGCGGUACCUAACGAGUAAGCACCGGCUAACUCCGUGCCAGCAGCCGCGGUAAUUC